rnacentral:rRNA from 1 species
GACGAACGCUGGCGGCGUGCCUAAUACAUGCAAGUAGAACGCUGAAGAGAGGAGCUUGCUCUUCUUGGAUGAGUUGCGAACGGGUGAGUAACGCGUAGGUAACCUGCCUUGUAGCGGGGGAUAACUAUUGGAAACGAUAGCUAAUACCGCAUAACAAUGGAUGACACAUGUCAUUUAUUUGAAAGGGGCAAUUGCUCCACUACAAGAUGGACCUGCGUUGUAUUAGCUAGUAGGUGAGGUAAUGGCUCACCUAGGCGACGAUACAUAGCCGACCUGAGAGGGUGCUCCGCCACACUGGGAAUGAGACACGGCCCCGACCUCCUCGGGAGGCAGCAGUAGGGAAUCUUCGGCAAUGGGGGCAACCCUGACCGAGCAACGCCGCGUGAGUGAAGAAGGUUUUCGGAUCGUAAAGCUCUGUUGUAAGUCAAGAACGGGUGUGAGAGUGGAAAGUUCACACUGUGACGGUAGCUUACCAGAAAGGGACGGCUAACUACGUG